ensembl:lncRNA
AUCCAAUGAUGCUCGAGGUGCCUUUGCUGCGAGACAGUCAAUGUUAGAGCGUGGGGACUGCAGUGAGAGGGUUGGAUGUGCAUUAGCAGUCCAACAGCGCUCUCCGGUGGAGGGCACAGUCCCUGACGAACAGGAAGGGAAGCGCAUGCGUCAAAGUCGCUGUGUUUUGUUGUGUAUAAUCCUGAAGCGUAUCCACGGCAGGAUUUAAUCCAACAAGAUAAACAUUGGGCCCAGCUGCUAGCGAGAACGCGGCAGCUGUGUGAGCCGUCAUAAACAGGCUGUCUUUGUCAGCCUCUUGUGCCAUCCCUCAAACUCUGAAGGCUGGAUUGUGCAGAGUGUCUGAGGGGGCGCUCAAGUGAUAGCUCGAUCGAAUGAUGCUCGAGGUGCCUUUGCUGCGAGACAGUCAAUGUUAGAGCGUGGGGACUGCAGUGAGAGGGUUGGAUGUGCAUUAGCAGUCCAACAGCGCUCUCUAGUGGAGGGAACAGUCCCUGAUGAACAGCAGAAGUAUCAGGAACUGCUGUAAGGCGAUUGAGGACGAGAGGCUUUUGCCGUCCAACUCAGGUUUUCUGUAAUGUCGGCGAGAUUAGCCAAGGUGGCGCUCGACCGUAACAUCCCCAUCCUAGAACGGUUCACUGCUCGGGCAGUAUGUUUGGUAGCACUUAGCGCCAAAUCUGUUGCCCCCCGCAGCUUUUUCACAGCCUCGGUUGUGAUAUCUUUCUCGUUAGAACCGCCAUCAAGUGGAGUAAAUUUGCCGAGAUUAGACGCGACUCGACACGCCUUCGAGAGGGGGCGAGACUUUAGGCCGCGGCCGAGUUCGGCGCGAUACGUUCGGCAAGAGAGUUCGUAAAGCAAAUCUGCUGAUUUAACACACUCGAGUGGGGGAGAGCGAGCGAAGUGGAAAAACUCCAGCGCAUCACUGUCCUCAUAAUCCAGGCCGCACACAUCACCCCAAACCACCGCCUCGUGCGGCGCCUCGGCGACCGCAGAAGCGUAACGGCGGGGGUUAGACGCGGGGCGACCUAGAGAAAAUACACUUCCGAGCGCAGAACUGUAGCCGCAGGCUAUCACAGAGAGAACAUGUAGAGAGGCUGCUAAACGAACCUCUCAUGAGUGCCUCCCCGUGAUAAACCCGUUAUACGGCUCUUACCUUACGUUGACUCAUCGCGUCCGCGAAGAGGAGUUGAACACUGCUCAAAGAAAAAAACCGCUGAGAACGCGAGAUGGUUUCCUUAGGGCACAGAUGAUUCGCUUUCCUGAAGGAAAUGAAAUCUGAGCGAAAUAGCGCGCGGCACUCAGGUAUACCAUGCGUACGCAUACGUAAGGCGGUGCCAAGCGCUAUUUGGCCAAUAAAAUUGGCGGGAUGGUAUAGGGCUUCA